CUACAAUUCCCAUAAUCCCAUGCGUGCUACUCUGACGCCUCCUCUCUACAAGCGGCAAUGGCGGAAGCAAAAGAAACACGGACUUUAAAUCUGAUGUGUCGAAAAAGUUCGCGUUCGCUGUGACAAGAAACGAGGAAGGACAAAAUGUGAUGGACAUUCAAAAAACGAGAAUUGACCCAUCUUAAAACCCAUCAUCUUUUCUUGAUUCUACAAUCACAACCGUUGCUUUCAUAGGAGUACCAAGCAUUAGCAUUAAUAUUAAUAAUAAUAAAAACUAGGUCAAUUGAGGGAGUCACUCAAUUCUUAAAACCUGACUGAUUGGGAGUUGUUUAAAGUCGACAAACUAAAAUGAAACUUAAUUUUUC